UCCGGGGUUCGUCUGGUGCUUUGACCUUAGAUGGAGUAGAUUUCUCGUAAAGCAUCUACACUUAAAGUUCGUCUGUCUGUUCCGAAUGACCCGUGCUAUGUAAAGUCAGCGCAGACAUCAUUCAUUCCCUGACAGGAACAAAAUGGAACUGGACGAAAAUGUUUACUGUUUUGCCGAUGGCCUUCUGUGGCUGUAAACUGGUUAGGAAAAGUUUUAUUUAACGUGCGCCAUAAAGAUGCAGCGCAACCCCCGGUUUCGCUCGGCGUUGUCUAAGCUCUUUCUGUUAGGAGCCAUAUCUAGGGGAGCGUUAUGAGAGUGUUUAUCAAGGGAAGUUGGCCUUGUCUUGAAAAAAAGAUAAACUUACUUGUGUGUUUUGUCGGCCAUGAUGAAACUGCUGCAGACGACAAUAAGGAAAGCAUGAUAGGUUGGCAGGAGCAACAUCAACUGUCUCUGGGGGGCACGUGACUUUCCUCGCAUAGCAACCGAGUAAUGAGUAAGGAACCUGGGAAGAGGAAAAAUGUAACUGGCUUGCUUAAGACAGGGAAAGAAGAAAGAAAACUCAAUUAAUUUAAAAAUCAAAUUAACACCUACGA